UCGUGUGGAGGAAGGAGCCUGAGGGCCACGAUAACCCCUUUAUUUUUAAGAGAUCUGGGAGGAAGUCCCAAGUCACCCUUUGCAGAAAUAGCUCCGAGCUUCGCUCUGGUGUCUGUGGCUCCAGCUGUCCGCAGGGGCGGCCCCGCGAGCCCAGGUCAGCCCGCCAUGCGACGGCAGGGAGGACGCUGGGCCCCGGGUGCCAGCCUGGAAGCCCGGGCUCCAAAGUCAGAGCCUUCAGCAAGGACAACAACUGUAUUUGUGCGCAGCGGCGGCUCAGGGCUGAGAGGAGUCCCCGAGGGCUGGUCCCGGUGAUGGCCAGGGUGCCUGCACGUCGCUUCGCCUCUCCGGCCUCGCCUCUGUUUCCUCCCCAGGAGCUCAGGGAUGAUGACGCCUCCCUCGAAGGGGAUCAUGACCGGCUUCCUGUGUCGACACCUCCAUUCCGCAAAAUCGAUCUCCUCCUCAAGCUGGAAAAGUCCACACACACAACCAGUCCAAGUCUCCUUGCUUUUAGAGGCAGCGCCGAGAGGGCGGGCGGUCCAGCCGUCCUUCCCAGCCCCCAGAAAGAGCUGUCACCAGUGGUGGGGCGGAUUGUCUUCAGCUCCGUGUCUUUGAGGAUCCGCAGGUGCACGCUGUGCUGUUUUCACGGAACCGGCAGGCUAUGCUAGAACAGGCUUUCCAUUCCGCCGCAGCCCCGAGGACCCUUCUGGUCAGGCCUCGCGGGGCACGCGGGGACUCCUUCUAAUGGCCGUACGACGUCCGUUGUCUGGAUGCCCCACUGCUGACUUAGCCCAUCUCCUCUCGUCGGAGAUUAGGACACUGCGACUAAUCCGACUAAGAAAACCUCACCUUGUUUCUCUUUUCUAUCACCAGUGGGCUUCAGAAGAUGCUCUGGGAGCUAAUCUGUGUGACCAUCCACAACUAAUUUUUUUUUUCAUUUUUUAAAGCUUAUUUAUUUAUUUGGAGAGAGAGAGAGAGAGCAGGGGCAGGGCAGAGAGAGAGGGGGAGAGAGAGAAUCCCAAGCAGGCUCUGGGCUGUCAGCGCGGAGCCCAACGUGGGGCUCGAACCCAGGAAACCUUGUGAGACCAAACCAAGAGUUGGACGCUUAACUGACUGAGCCCCCCGGGCGCCCCCACAACCAUUUCUUUAACAUAAACUCCUGGGAGUGAAAUGGAAGGUCCUGGGGUGAGCACACGUGGCUGACAGCUUUAAUGCACUUGAGCCAGGUUUCAGGCUGAGAGACGGUUCCCGGGAGGGAAGUGGGUGUUCCAGGCAGAGGUGUGGGCAAAGGCUCGUGUACAAGGCGUCAAGAAUUCUCUAAAGGCCUUUUUGGGGGGAAGACCUUGCUGCUUGUCUAGAAUUCCAGGAAGGUGGCUUGGAAUGACCUGGCUAUUCUUCCGUGUGUCCUUCCCUCCUUCUCGGGGAGCCCUCUCCUCCCUGACCAGCCUGGGCAUCAGCACCCCACUGAUGAGCUCCCCAGGCCACACCAGACACCCACCGGAACGUCUUAUUUUUUUUUAAUUUUUGAUGUUUAUUGAUUUUUGAGAGAGAGAGAGAGUGCAAGCAGGUGAAGGGGCAGAGAGAGAAAGAGACACAGAAUCGGAAGCAGGCUCCAGGCUCCGAGCUGUCAGCAUGGAGCCCAACGCGGGGCUCGAACCCACAAACCGU
ensembl:lncRNA